rnacentral:rRNA from 1 species
UACAGAGGGGGCUAGCGUUGUUCGGAUUUACUGGGCGUAAAGCGCACGUAGGCGGAUCGAUCAGCCAGGGGUGAAAUCCCAGAGCUCAACUCUGGAACUGCCUUUGAUACUGUCGAUCUGGAGUAUGGAAGAGGUGAGUGGAAUUCCGAGUGUAGAGGUGAAAUUCGUAGAUAUUCGGAGGAACACCAGUGGCGAAGGCGGCUCACUGGUCCAUUACUGACGCUGAGGUGCGAAAGCGUGGGGAGCAAACAGG